rnacentral:snRNA from 1 species
AUACUUACUGGCAGGGGAAGUACCAUGAUCAGCGAAGGUGGUUUUCCCAGGGCGAGGCUUAUCCAUUGCACUCCGGAUGUGCUGGAACCCCCUGCGAUUUCCCAAAUGUGGGAAACUUCGACCUGCAAAUAAUUUGUGGUAGUGGGGGGACGCGUUCGCCGCUUUUCCCCU